GAUGAACGCUGGCGGCGUGCCUAACACAUGCAAGUCGAACGAACAGACGAGGAGUUUGCUCCUUUCUCGUUUGCGGCGGACGGGUGAGUAACACGUGGAUACCCCACUUAUAUUACUGGGAUAAUUUCGGGACACCGGAGAUAAUACCGGAUAAUAUCUUGCACCGCAUGGUUCAAUAGUGAAUGACGGCUUUUGUGUCUCUACUAGAUGGUUCGGGGCCGCUUUAGCUAGUUGGUAAGGUCACGGCUUAUCAAGGCUAGCAUGCGUAGCCGACCUGACAGGGUGGUCGGCGACACUGGAACUGAGACGCGGUCCAUAGUCCUACGGGAGGCAGCAGUAGGGAAUGGUAGGCAAUGGGGGGAAGCCUGACGGAACGACGCCGCGUGAGUGAUGAAGGUCUUCGGAUCGUAAAGCCCGGUUAUUGGGUGAGAACAGAUGUGGAAUGAGAUAUAGAGGUCUUGACGGUAACGAAUAAAGAAGCAACGGCUAACUACGUG
rnacentral:rRNA from 1 species